rnacentral:rRNA from 1 species
GGAUGCGAUCAUACCAGCACUAAAGCACCGGAUCCCAUCAGAACUCCGAAGUUAAGCGUGCUUGGGAGAGAGUAGUACUAGGAUGGGUGACCUCUUGGGAAGUCCUCGUGUUGCUUUCC